CAGAUUUAUAAAACAAUCUUCACCAUUAAAUAUAUUCAUCCAUCCCAUUCACUUUGCCCGCUGUCUCUUUUGUUGUCUAGCGGAUCAUUAUAGGAUGCUAGAUUC